rnacentral:rRNA from 1 species
CCGGUUCACUUUAACACUGAGGCGUGAUGACGAGGCACCACGGUGCUGAAGCAACAAAUGCCCUGCUUCCAGGAAAAGCCUCUAAGCCUCAGGUAACAUCAAAUCGUACCCCAAACCGACACAGGUGGUCAGGUAGAGAAUACCAAGGCGCUUGAGAGAACUCGGGUGAAGGAACUAGGCAAAAUGGUGCCGUAACUUCGGGAGAAGGCACGCUGACACGUAGGUGAAGUGGUUUACCCAUGGAGCUGAAGUCAGUCGAAGAUACCAGCUGGCUGCAACUGUUUAUUAAAAACACAGCACUGUGCAAACACGAAAGUGGACGUAUACGGUGUGACGCCUGCCCGGUGCCGGAAGGUUAAUUGAUGGGGUCAGCGCAAGCGAAGCUCCUGAUCGAAGCCCCGGUAAACGGCGGCCGUAACUAUAACGGUCCUAAGGUAGCGAAAUUCCUUGUCGGGUAAGUUCCGACCUGCACGAAUGGCGUAAUGAUGGCCAGGCUGUCUCCACCCGGGACUCAGUGAAAUUGAACUCGCUGUGAAGAUGCAGUGUACCCGCGGCAAGACGGAAAGACCCCGUGAACCUUUACUAUAGCUUGACACUGAACACUGGUCCUUGAUGUGCAGGAUAGGUGGGAGGCUUUGAAGUGUGGACGCCAGUCUGCAUGGAGCCAUCCUUGAAAUACCACCCUUUAAUGGCUGGUGUUCUAACGUGGGCCCGUGAACCGGGUUGCGGACAGUGUCUGGUGGGUAGUUUGACUGGGGCGGUCUCCUCCUAAAGAGUAACGGAGGAGCACGAAGGUUGGCUAAUCCUGGUCGGACAUCAGGAGGUUAGUGCAAUGGCAUAAGCCAGCUUGACUGCGAGCGUGACGGCGCGAGCAGGUGCGAAAGCAGGUCAUAGUGAUCCGGUGGUUCUGAAUGGAAGGGCCAUCGCUCAACGGAUAAAAGGUACUCCGGGGAUAACAGGCUGAUACCGCCCAAGAGUUCAUAUCGACGGCGGUGUUUGGCACCUCGAUGUCGGCUCAUCACAUCCUGGGGCUGAAGUAGGUCCCAAGGGUAUGGCUGUUCGCCAUUUAAAGUGGUACGCGAGCUGGGUUUAGAACGUCGUGAGACAGUUCGGUCCCUAUCUGCCGUGGGCGCUGGAAGAUUGAGGGGGGCUGCUCCUAGUACGAGAGGACCGGAGUGGACGCAUCACUGGUGUUCGGGUUGUCAUGCCAAUGGCACUGCCCGGUAGCUACAUGCGGAAGAGAUAAGUGCUGAAAGCAUCUAAGCACGAAACUUGCCCCGAGAUGAAUCUUCCCUGAGCCUUUAAGGCUCCUGAAGGAACGUUGAAGACGACGACGUUGAUAGGCCGGGUGUGUAAGCGCAGCGAUGCGUUGAGCUAACCGGUACUAAUGAACCGUGAGGCUUAACCUUACAAC